rnacentral:rRNA from 1 species
UACGGGAGGCAGCAGUGGGGAAUAUUGCACAAUGGGCGCAAGCCUGAUGCAGCCAUGCCGCGUGUAUGAAGAAGGCCUUCGGGUUGUAAAGUACUUUCAGUCGUGAGGAAGGUGUUAAGGUUAAUAACCUUAGCAAUUGACGUUAGCGACAGAAGAAGCACCGGCUAACUCCGUGCCAGCAGCCGCGGUAAUACGGAGGGUGCGAGCGUUAAUCGGAAUUACUGGGCGUAAAGGGCACGCAGGCGGUUAAUUAAGUUGGAUGUGAAAUCCCCGGGCUUAACCUGGGAAUGGCAUUCAAGACUGGUUAGCUAGAGUCUUGUAGAGGGGGUUAGAAUUCCAUGUGUAGCGGUGAAAUGCGUAGAGAUGUGGAGGAAUACCGGUGGCGAAGGCGGCCCCUGGACAAAGGCUGACGCUCAUGUGCGAAAGCGUGGGGAGCAAACG